AUCAAAUGGGUUAUUCCUACCCGAAGCUGUGCACUCUGUGGAAGAAGAUGAUGUUCCCCGAAUAGAGGACUGGUCUUUGGUCAAAGGUAUCGGUAGCUGUGCUCCCCUACUAGGACCUCCAACAAUCUCUUAAUACUGUAUGGGCUAGGUGUUAGAAGAGGGGGCUUGGUUGUGGACCAGGCUGGUCACAAACUCACAGAGAUCUGCCUGCCUCU
rnacentral:snRNA from 1 species